GGUUCAAUGGUCUAGUGGUUAUGAUUUCUGUCUUACAAUUCUAUCACAGAAGGUCUCCAGUUCGAUCCUGGAUUGAACCA